GGAGUAUUAAAUAAAUCACUAUAUAAUAAUAUUAUCGAAUAAAAAAAAUAUAAAUAAUAAUAUUACAGAAUUACACAAUAUAUAAUACUAAAAUAGAGAUUAUAUAUUUACACUAUUUAUAAUAAUAUCAAAUACAUUUAUAAAAUAAAAAAAUAUCGCACGGACGUGCAGAUUAAAAUCUAGUGAAAAUUAUAUCAAAUAUCUAUCUGAAAAAUGUAUAGGUUUUUCUGGUUUUUUCUAAGAAAAUAUGUAUUCAUACAAACGUACAAUUCAGAAUUUUGUUGUUGUUCAGAAUAUAACUUCCAAAACAAUAGCUAACAUUUGAAAAUCAAAAUAUCUCCGCGCGUAACGCGGGUUAGUUAUAGAUUUGGUUCUCUCCGCAAUGGAGGGUGCAUUUUGUGGCACGUGGCGUUCUAUCAUUACCAAUGUUAAGCUGUUUUCUCAUUGAGUAUUCUAUUUGGGCUUCGUAUUCUGAUCUGAGUAAUGCGAUGAGCUGUUAUUGUUUUUCCUUAAGAAGUUCAUGUCAUAUUAGUGUUUGCUUCAUUCUCCCUUGUGUCGCUCGAGAUUCCGUAGCUCUGUCUCUUCACAUCUCACCACCACCGGUGUUCUUCUCUGAAACGACUACAGUUAUUCAGAUUACAUUAAUCCAAGCAUUAACAUCUUAUGAACAACUUCUCCCACUCUUUUGAAUUAAAUUGGCCACAGCUAAAUCCAAAGUAACCGACUAAAACUUGACCUUUAUAUAUCUUCGUUUCUUGGGAUGAACAGCCCCAACGAAAAAAAUCCCAAAAGUCUCUCUCUGCCAAGCAUCAAAUUCAUCAAUGGUGAAUUUGUUUACAAUAGAUAUCACCUCCGAUAGAACUCAUCAGUCAUCACUCAUCACUACGAUGAGAAAGUGUUGGGUUUCAUCAAAGGAUAUUUCUUUGAUAUUGCUUACUUUGAUCAUAUGUGCACUAUAACACCCUCCAAGAACUUGCAUUGAUGACAGCUCUUUUAUUUCCAAUUCAACCCUAUACUCCAUUGCAAAAUACGAGAAGCCGACCAUUUAUUUACUGAGCUCGGUACCAUAGAUGUAAGUUCUCUUUCCUGCUUCAGUAUAACAUAUCCGGCUAAAAAAAUUUAAAAAAAAAAAGCUGCUAGCGAUUUCCAUUUCCAACAUAAUCUUUACUUUCUCAGCGUUUGGUACAUAUAUCAUCAUGAAGGUUUCAUAUCUUGACGCUUUUUGAAAUAUGAAGGAAGUGACAAGGCUUCUGAUACUAGACCAUAUCCAGAGGUUUGAGACCAACUUAUAUGGUCUUGCAUUGAUGAAACAAUGAUUGUGUUAAAAAUUACUAAUCAGAUGGAACCGUUCUCAAUUGUUUUGAGUGCAAGAUCUUCAAAAGUUUAUAUUUUCAUGACUUGGGCUUCAUAUGAUUAAGCACGACAAGGAACAAAGAUAUUUGAAGUAUAUCAACCAAUUGUUCGCCAUUAAAUUGCCUUUCUUUAGUUUGCCAUUGUAUGUAAAGUCUAUCAAAUUGUUCAAAUUGUAAUUCUUUAGUUUCCGAGAUGAACUCUGCAAACAUUGAAUAUGAUAAAUCUAUAAUGAUAGCUUGAAGAGUUCCCAUUGACCUGAUAAA